UCCGGUUUGGCACCGGCAGUCCCCCCAGAGUCCUCGGCAUGACCCGGUAGCAACUGGGGGCGGGGGUUGCGCUCGUUGCGGGACUUAACCCAACAUCUCACGACACGAGCUGACGACAGCCAUGCAGCACCUGUGCGCGUACUCCGAAGAGGGGCCGCCGUUUCUGACGGCUUUCCCGCGCAUGUCAAGCCCAGGUAAGGUUCUUCGCGUUGCGUCGAAUUAAACCACAUGCUCCACCGCUUGUGCGGGCCCCCGUCAAUUCCUUUGAGUUUCAGCCUUGCGGCCGUACUCCCCAGGCGGGGCACUUAGUGCGUUAGCGACGGCACGGGAGGAGUCGACACCUCCCACACCUAGUGCCCAUCGUUUACGGCGUGGACUAC
rnacentral:misc_RNA from 1 species